rnacentral:rRNA from 1 species
CAAGUAGGAUUACCCGCUGAACUUAAGCAUAUCAAUAAGCGGAGGAAAAGAAACCAACAGGGAUUGCCUUAGUAACGGCGAGUGAAGCGGCAAAAGCUCAAAUUUGAAAUCGGCCACCAGGUCGAGUUGUAAUUUGUAGAUUGUAUCUUGAGAGCGGAUUAAAGUCUGUUGGAACACAGCGCCUUAGAGGGUGACAGCCCCGUAAAAUCUAUUCUCAUUGUAAGAUACUUUCGAAGAGUCGAGUUGUUUGGGAAUGCAGCUCUAAGUGGGAGGUAAAUUCCUUCUAAAGCUAAAUAUUGACGAGAGACCGAUAGCGAACAAGUACUGUGAAGGAAAGAUGAAAAGCACUUUGAAAAGAGAGUGAAAAAGUACGUGAAAUUGUUAAAAGGGAAGGGUAUUGAAUCAGACUUGGUGCUGUUGUUCAACUGUGUUUCGGCAUAGUGUACUCAGCAGUACUAGGCCAAGGUGGGGUGUUUGGGAGUGAAAAAGAAGUUGGAACGUAACUCUUCGGAGUGUU